rnacentral:lncRNA from 1 species
CCCCAUACCUUGCCAGCUGUGUCUUCCCAGGGAAGCCCUGGGAACUCUCCUCUGCUUAUCUCUGGAUGUCCUUCAUUCUCUGUGUUACCUGUUGGCCUUGGCCCUUGGCUCUGCCUUUGGCAUUUUAACCAAGGCAUAGAAAGCCCCAUUCCAUCUCUGUCUGGUGCUCCCGAGGCCUAUUGGGAGGGGGGCACCUGGAACAGUGGGUAUGAUCAACAACUGCCCUUUGCCAUGUCAAGCCCCUCUCCCCAUUGAUGCUGACACAGCCUCGGCAGCCAGGCUCCGAGCCUCCCCACUGAGGGGGAGGAGAACCUAUCCUGUUUUAUUUGGAUCCCUAUACCUUCCAGCUGCAUGUCCCUUCUGUCCCUUUUCUCUUGCAUGCUUUACCUAUCCAGCACCCAUGCCAACGUGCCAAGUCUCCCAUGGGAACUCAGUUAAGGCUGGUGUCCCCAUCGGGUUGGGCCAAGUUAGGCCUCUGGUGCCUGCUACUGUCUCCCUACAGUGGGCAUCACUGGCCUGUGCUGAGCAACAGCUGUAAUUUUCAUGGUUUAUAAACAAUAAACUGUGACACCAGGCACAC